rnacentral:rRNA from 1 species
AACGUAGGUGGCAAGCGUUAUCCGGAUUUACUGGGCGUAAAGGGUGUGCAGGCGGGCUGUCAAGUGGUGUAUGAAAGCCUCCAGCUUAACUGGGGAGGGUUAUGCCAGACUGACAGUCUUGAGGACGAGAGAGGGGCGUGGAAUUCCGGGUGUAGUGGUGAAAUGCGUAGAUAUCGGGAGGAACACCUGAGGCGAAGGCGGGUUACUGGGCUGAUACUGACGCUGAUGCGCGAAAGCCAGGGGAGCAAACGGG